CAGGAAAACAUAAACUGCUUUAUUGUAAGUUGGUUUUCUUUUAUUGAAUAGCAAAAAGAUGGAGAUAUAUCUAGUUUACAAUGACUGAAUCAAAACUUUUGACAAAAAUGAGAUUCAAGCUUAAUAGCUAAUCAUCUUCCAUUUAUAUUUUGUGUUCAUAUAUAUUGAAAAUCUGUAUGUAUAUGCAUGUAUGUGUAUAUGUGUGUAUAAAUAUAUACAUUCAUUCAUCUACACAGAGACAGAUAUAGAAAUAAACAUUGGUGAACCAGAACUAAUAUUCAAAAUUCAUAUCUUAAUAGAACACUGUAAACAUUAUAAUAACAACAUUAAAUGGCCUUCAAAACAGCUUGACUCCUGGGAUGGUGCUCCCUGUUAAAUAUUAUCCUUUGUAGCAUCUUUUCUCUUUGCCAUAAAGAUUUGAAAGUCACCAAAGCCACGUGUUUCUUCUUCCUCCUCCUCUUGCUUGUAUACAAUAUAUUCAACAGAUGGUCUUCCUGCUCCUAUAAUUGCAUUCUAACAAUAGUUCUUCCAACUCCUCUGCUUCUUUAACUCUUUUGUAUUUGGACCAAGUUGCUGCUGAAGAGCAUGAACAGAAACCAUUACAACAGCCU
ensembl:processed_transcript